UCUCGGUGGCGACCGCGUGCUUGCUUGGGCGAGAGAGAAUGCGGCAUUGUUGCGCGCGCUCUUGCCUGUGCUGCCCUUCGCAGCAUACUCUCGGCGGUACGCGUCCACCGCACCAACACAGCCACACACUCAAAGGUUGCUUUUGGGAGAAGAAGAUAAAACAUCCAGCACCCACCACCUGUGCAACAUAGAUCCUACUACAGCUCACGCGGGUUUUUUUUUCGUUUUGGAGUUUAGAGUGCCGCUCAAAAGGCGAGAGAAAUCGUGCAACGCGCUUGGGGGAAACGACGCGCAUGCAACAUAACACAACCCAAAGAAGGCAAAUCAAUGUGUCUUCCCAAAACGACAGCUGAUUGAAAUCGGAGAGAAAGAUGCAACAAAACUCCCCUUUCUACCCUUUGGAUAUAUUAGUAUGUGUGUAUGUGUGUGUGUUUCGCUAUCGCUCACGCUCGGUUUGUAUCCACAAUAUUGUUAUCAACAUUCUCGUCCAACCUACACCGAACCUGUACACGAAAGAUGCUGAUGCACAGGUGUGUGCUGACGAAGCAUACAUACGACGGGAAACUCGAAGCGCCGGGGGAGAUGCUGCUGGUGGUGCAGAGGAAACGGAGCCUUGGAUGCACCUUUCUCCAGCUCCACGCGAACUGCACGUUGUGUGGGUACGUGGCAACACAACGUGCCCCGUGUUGGGGUGAGGAAUGCAUGUACUGCUAGUAGAUGUAACCAUUUAAUGAUGGUUUUACGAUGGAAAUGGAAAAUAACCAAUUGCAUGUGAAUAUUGUUUUCAAUAUUAAUGUAACAUGUUUUAUUACACACAAGCAAGCCUUUGAGAAUAGGAAACAUAUAAGAGAUACAUUAAUUGAAACAAAA